rnacentral:lncRNA from 1 species
CUUGAAUCCCCAGCAAUUGAAGCUUGCAGAAAGCUAUUGGUGAGGAAAGAGUUUGUUACCGUAAAUAGCAUGCCUCCCUUUUACUUAUUCCAUGCUUGUGUUCUUGCUGCUCCUAAGGUCCAUAGAACAUAAGAUAUUGACAAAUUCAGCAUGGUAUUGGACCCUAGCCCCUUUGUUCUGUGAGAAACCUCAGAUCACCAUUAUUAAUAGAUGCUGUCUCUCUGUCUGUCUGUCUGUCACUUGAUAGUCUACAUGCCACUCAUCAGGAUUUCUCUGUGUCCAGGUUGUUGGAUCAAAGUGCAUAGUGGAAUGUCACCCUUUGAGCAGAGUCUGUCUGCAGAAGGUGCCAGUCCAUCCACACUGCAGCAGCACAUGCUGUGCUGUGCUGUGCUGAGACACCCUUAGCAUGGACAAUGUGAGGAUCCUCCAGACCUCCUAGGGUCUUCUAAUGCAUCAAGUGACUUACACUAUUGGGGAUACCCCCACAAACACUGAGAGUAGAGAGGCCAUUCAGAGUGAGAAGUACUGCAUACGCAGCGACAGUGGCAAAACUUUUACUAGCACAUCCCACCUCAAUCGACACCGGAACAUACACACUGGAGAAAAGCCUUUUCAGUGCAGGGAGUGUGGGAUGUCCUUCAGCCAAAAAGCCUUUCUUAUUAAGCAUUUCAGAAUUCACACCGCAGAGAAGCCAUUCAGGUACAGUGAGUGUUGCAAAACCUUCAAGCACAACUGCUACCUUGUUGCUCAUCAGUGAGUUCACACAGGAGUGACACUGUUACAUGGACUAAAUGUGGCAAGUCAUACAUGAACAGAUCCAGCCUUUUAUAUCAUUAUUGGGUUCAUACUGGAGAAAAUCCAUAGAAGUAUACUAUAGUAGUUUGAAUAGGUUUGGCCCUAUAGAUUCAUGUGUUUGAAUGCUUGGCCCAUAGGGAGUGACACUAUUAGGUGAUGUGGCCUUCUUAGAAUAGGUGUGGCAUUCUUGCAGAAAGUGUGUCACUGUGGGGAUGGGCUCUGAGGUUCAGUGCUCAAGCUCCACCCAGUGUGGGAGAGUCUCUUCCUGCCUGCCUUUAGAUCAGGAUAUAAAACCUCUGCUCCACAGCACCGUGUCUGCCUGCAUGCAGCCAUGGUUCCUGCCAAGAUGGUAAUGGAUUGACCUUCUGAAAAUGUAAGCCAGACCCAAUUAAAUGUUUUCCUUUAUAAGAGUUACCUUUUCAAAGUUUUCAAAGUUCCUUUCAAAGCAAUAAAAACACUAACUAAGACAUGAUAUCAAAUGCAUAAAUAAUAUAAGGAAAAUUCCAGCCAUGUUUAUCAUGUCCAAGCUCAUAUAAGGGAAAGGAAAUUUAAAAAUCAUGAAUCUUGAAAGUGUUAAAAAACGAAACUCAUCUCAUCAAUGACCAACAAACUUCAUAGUAGAGGAAAGGAUUUUAUGUGUAGUGUGUGGGGGAUGCAGCCUCAUGUAACAUCAGGGAUUUUAUGCAGCAAAGCAUCAUGAGUGCACAGAAUGUGGCAAAGUGUUUUGCUGCAGGACUGGCACCACACUAAAUAGAGUAUAUGUAUUGAGUGCAAUGAACAUGGGAAAUUGUUUCCAUGAUCUACCCUAUCUACACAAAAGGAUAUUCACUGGACAAAAGUCAAGAGUGCUUCAGAUGUGUAAGGCGUUCACCCACACUUGCAUCAUAUUUAACUGAAGAAGCCACAGUGCAGACAUGCAUCAUGAACCCACUGAAUCUGGGGAAGACUUUGAACAAAGUUUGUUCUUACUAGCAACACAGACACAACCCAGAUAGGUUUGUGAAUGCAAACGUAGAGAAAGCUUCAGCCAUUGACCAAGCUUGUUGAGCCUUAGGAGUGAAUGUGAGUCUGAGCAAAGAAGUUCUGAGAGUAGCUUUUGUGAGGAAGCAAGUCAUUGAAAAUUACUCAUCAAAGAAGAACAUGGAUCAAGAUGAGGAUUAGUGCCAUCUUAUUCCUAAGAAGUUAAUGCUUUCUGGGGAUUUAGCAAGAGGAAGCUGUGUUGUUGGCUGCACUGCACCAGUAUUGAGUGGAGUCUUCAUGUUGCUGACUUUGAAUGGGGGAGGAAGAGAGUGACCUCAGUUUAAAUAAGACAUAUAUAUUUAUUGUUGUUUGUUCUAUUGGUUGCCAUUUUUCCCUCACUGAAUAUUGCAGUCCAUGGGAUAAAUGAUCAUUUACUAUAAAGUCUUCAUAACUAUUGUGUCACUACUUUUGUUGGGGACCAGCUCUGUGUAGCACCCUGUAUCUAUGUUUCCUUUUUUGUUUAUAUACAGUCUUACCAUGUUGGUUUGUCUCA